rnacentral:misc_RNA from 1 species
AUCACAAUCUUGUAAUUUAAUGCCUUGUGAUAAAAGCUCAUAUUUACAUCUGAGUAUCUCUUGCAAAAAUUUGGAUUUUUCAGAAGAAUAUAAGAAAGAAGCCAGAAGCUCACUUUAUUAUGCACUAAAAGAAUAGUAAUUACAAAAGGUAUAUACAGGUAUAUGUAAUUAAAGCUCAACUCACAUUUCGGAUAGAAGAUUGCUGAUUUUCCGAAGCUCCUUAAGAGCUGUCAUAGCUGUAACUUGUCCUUUGCCUACUAGUACAUUUUUGGAGAAAUUAUCUGAUGACCCUACCUGAACCCUAUCUUGCUGGAAAACAGACUCUAUUACCUGAAUAUGUUCUAGCAUAGAAUGGCCAAGAUUCCUCAAAGAACCCAUCAUAUUCUGGUCCACAAGAUCUCCUGUUGCA